UAUUUAAAAAAUAUAAAAAGAUUACCCCUUUAAGAAAAUAAAUAAUUCAUACAGAUUGUUUUCUGUAGCAAAAAGGGGUAAUCAAAUAAAAAAAAAUGGAGACGGCUAGGCUUUUCAAAUUAGUGUGUGUGAUUUGUAUUGCCAGUUUGAUUCCGACCUUACGAGCCAAUGUUGCGGAGACCGAUGAUUAUUGGGUAAAAAUGGCCAAUGAAGCUCGUAAACGUACCCUUAUGGCUUAUCAUCCCGAUCCUUAUCAGAUUGUCGACCACUUCCACGAGCGUCACUACGAGUAAGCCCCUUAACCUUUUUUUAUCUGUAUUUGUUUUCAGUCCUAUUGUAAUUUAUAACUUUUACUUGUGACGGGAAUACAAAUUUGAUUUGGAUUAGUUUAGUUAUUUGAUUUUAUUCGACUUUACUAAGGUACAAAUAAACUAUCUCUAGAAGUUUUAGUAAGGGGGUUAAAAUUAUGAAAAAAAAUACUUUGAAAGGGAAACUAUCUCUACACACCCCGGACUUGGACUUGCUACAAUAUUAUAUAAGAAAGACGUGAGAUGAAUUUACGAUCAUGUUUUGUUAUAGUAUUCUUUUAACAGUGAUUUUGGAUUUAUGAUGGGUUUGGUUUUUGUGCAUAUGUGUAUGAUUUUCAGCAACUCUACUGAUGUUGAGGAGACGGAGGAACACGCAUCCGAGGAAGAGGACGACAUUGAGAUGAGUUCUAGUCUGACGAACAGCACAAGACGGAGCCUAAGAGGUAGAGGUAAAGGUAAAGGUAGAGGGAAAUGGAGCAAGCUAAAGGGACCUUGCACUGCAAGUAACCCUAUUGAUAAAUGUUGGCGUUGCCAGCCCGAUUGGGCCAGGCGUCGCAAGAAGCUCGUCAAAUGUGUUCGUGGCUUCGGUUACAGGACCACAGGAGGCAAACGCGGUCGAAUCUACGUGGUCACAAGCAACAGAGACGAUGAUACGGUGAAUCCUAGACCCGGAACACUUCGUCACGCUGUGAUUCAGAACGAACCUCUCUGGAUCAUUUUCAAGCACGAUAUGAGCAUUAGGUUGAGCCAAGAGCUAAUGAUUAAUAGUCACAAGACGAUCGAUGCUCGUGGCACUAACGUGCACAUCGCAUAUGGUGCUGGUAUCACGAUGCAGUACGUGCGAAACAUCAUCAUCCAUGGGCUUCACGUCCAUCACAUCGUCCCCGGCAGUGGUGGUAUGAUAAGAAACUCAAAUGACCACUUUGGGUUUAGAGGACAGGCCGAUGGAGAUGGUAUCUCUAUCUUUGGAGCAACAAACAUUUGGCUUGACCACAUUUCUAUGUCUAAAUGCCAAGAUGGUCUCAUCGACGCUAUAAUGGGCUCCACCGGUAUCACUAUCUCUAACUCUCAUUUCACCCACCACAACGAUGUGAGUAUUCAUCAAAUCCGUACAUGUCUAGUAGAUUUCAGUUGCCUAAUUGAUUUGAUCGCUAUAUAUGGACUUUUAAAACAUAUUAUUAUUAAUAAUCUAACUAAUCAUAUCAUGUCCUCCAUUUUAGUGUAUAAGUAAAGCUUUAUCCUUUCUUACUAGUUAGUUAGUAGUGAAUGUGUUUUGUAAUGAUGUAUUUGGUUUUAACAGUGGGGAGUAAGUCUGCAACAACUGUGAAAUCAAAUGAGCAACCAGCUGGCCCUGUUUCUUCUUCUACAACCGCAACUAGCAAUGCUGAAAGCUCUCUGUCCACUCCUAUGAUCAGUGAAGAGCUUAAGAUCUAUUCUCACCUCAAGAAGUUUUCUUUCCUUGAUCUCAAGUUAGCUACUAGAAAUUUCAGACCCGAGAGUCUCCUCGGGGAAGGCGGCUUUGGUUGUGUCUUUAAAGGAUGGGUGGAGGAGAAUGGAACUGCUCCUGUUAAGCCUGGCACUGGCCUUACUGUCGCCGUCAAAACCUUAAAUCUUGAUGGUCUUCAGGGUCAUAAAGAGUGGCUUGUAAGAUAUCCUUUCUUUUUUUCAAAUGUUGAAAGCUUAAAAAAAAAACAACUAAAAGGUUUCUGUUUGCAGGCUGAGAUUAACUAUCUUGGUAAUCUUCUGCAUCCGAACCUUGUUAAACUGGUGGGUUAUUGUAUCGAAGAUGACCAAAGGCUGCUGGUUUAUGAGUUUAUGCCUCGAGGAAGUUUGGAGAAUCAUCUCUUCAGAAGUAAGUAGUGUAAAUCAAUUCUCAAACCUUCAUUAUUGUACGUACAGUAAAGCUUUAAAUCUUUCUCCUACUUGUUGUGUGUGUUGGAACUUGGAAGGGUCGUUGCCUCUUCCAUGGUCGAUUCGGAUGAGGAUUGCAUUAGGUGCUGCCAAGGGUCUCAGUUUCCUUCACGAAGAAGCUCUGAAGCCUGUCAUAUAUCGUGAUUUCAAAACCUCCAACAUUUUACUAGAUUCAGUAUGUUUCCUUUCUUACUUAUGUAUGUAUGUAUCAUCCCGUCCUUGCUUCUAAACUUUGUUACCAAUACUCUCAGGACUACAAUGCCAAACUAUCAGAUUUUGGGCUUGCUAAAGAUGCUCCUGAUGAAGGCAAAACCCAUGUCUCUACUCGAGUCAUGGGCACUUAUGGUUACGCUGCUCCUGAGUAUGUUAUGACUGGUUUGUCUCUCAUUCACUCUCUCCUCUCAUUAUUUCCUUUUUCUCCAUUAGCAGCACUGAUAUAAUUGUAUAUUACUACUGCUUAUAGGUCACUUGACAUCAAUGAGCGAUGUUUACAGUUUCGGUGUGGUUCUACUCGAAAUGCUGACUGGUAGAAGAUCCAUGGAUAAAAACCGACCAAGCGGUGAGCAAAACCUCGUUGAAUGGGCAAGACCGCAUCUCCUUGACAGAAGAAGAUUCUACCGGCUGCUUGAUCCGAGGCUGGAAGGUCAUUUUUCCAUCAAAGGAGCUCAGAAAGUGACUCAGCUUGCAGCUCAAUGUCUUAGCCGUGACUCCAAGAUCAGACCUAAAAUGAGUGAAGUGGUUGAAGUCCUUAAACCACUACCGCUUCUCAAAGACAUGGCUAGCUCUUCCUACUACUUCCAGACAAUGCAAGCCGAACGUUUGAAAGCUGGGUCUGGGUCUGGUCGUGGGUUGGGGUCGAGAAACGGACAACCUGUGCUUAGGACACUGUCUAGUCCUCAUGGACAAGCUGGUUCUUCACCUUAUCGUCAUCAGAUUCCGUCUCCUAAGCCCAAAGGUGCAACUACUUAGCUGUAUCUCAUUUCCUUUAGAGGCUCUUUCUUGUAAAGCAAGGAAACUGUCUGUUUUUAACCAAUAUUCUUAACCGAUUUAGAGAAAGGCAAAUUUAUGGUGUAUAAGACUGAUCUGAAAGAAGAUCCAACGUUGUUGAUUUACCCUUUGUAACCGCCUGUUUCUUCUUAUAUUGUACUCUUCGACUUGUCUUAGUGUUUAUCUGCUAGGCGCAUAAUAUUGUCUCAUUCAUUCACUACUAGUCAUUUUCGCAAUUUCUCAGUUGCUUGACCGAGCCAGUACGCAACCUAAGCCGAACCUAACCUUUGAUAUAAAUGUGGAUGACGUUUUAGCUUAUAAUAUGUUUGAAUAUUUUCCUCUUUUUGAUAUUUGGACUUAUCCACUUGCUGCUUUUAACAUGUCACAAUGACUGCAUCAUCUCUUUCAAAAUUUCAUCGUCACCCACUUAUAUAACUGCAUUUGAGAGCUAUUAGGGGAAAUGUUAUCAAUGGCCCCCGUAAGUUCUUUUCACACUUCACUGUCGCUUCACCAGCACUCAACCAUAUAAAACUAUCAACAAAGGGGGGGUAUUGGAAAGUGUUGGGGUUGAAAUUUCGCUUUUACUAGAGUUUUGAAUCUUUUCCUCUUUUGAAUUUGCUACUCAUCCGCCGCUUGUUGCUUUAUAUAAGAUUAAUCGAAUAGUUAUCUGACUAAAAAGUAAUAAUAUGGCACAGGAUGACACCAUUUCUUACGUGAAGUUAUUGUUUAUUCAAAUGUACUCAAAAGCAAGUUAUCCAUCUUAGUACUUGUUAAACAUGCAUGCCGCAAGGACCAACGACUUAAACUCAGAAAACUAACUUUAAUUUGAUUACUUUUUGCUGUAAUUUGAUUUAUCUUUAUUGAAACUUGAUCAUUGUUUAUAAUAAAAAAUACAUAAUUUAAUGACUAAAUCCAAAAUUACGAAACAUUCAACUAUUCAAAAACAAUGGACCGUUCCAAACUCCCAAGUUUCAAAAAUCCGGAAAUCCCCUCCCACCUUUUUCCAGCAAACAUAAACAAAUAUUUAAAAACACAUCCAUCUUGUAAUAUUUUACUUUUGAAACCCUACACAUAGCUGCAGAUUAUUAAUAUAAAUAGAGUCCGGUCAACGUUCUAUGUAUUGAAACAUAUAAAAUGAAUGUAGUUCUUGGUUAUAGUCGUCAUCCGACAAGGCUAUCCGUGUACGUGUAUAUACCCCUUCUUAAACAAAUAUCCAAGAUAAAGAACUAGUAAAAUGAAUGGUUCACGCGUAAACAAGACAAGGUUUAUCUGGUGGCUAAACCACUUAUCGAAGUUUUGUCAAAUAUAAAAAAAACGAAUCGAAAAAGCAUAUGUCUUCUUCGUCCAGAACUGACAAAUAUUAACAAGUUUGAUCAUUUAUUUCUAUCUCCAAAAACCAAGAUAAUGCCAUUCUAUUUAGACUUUUCAAAAAAAAAAGUCACUUCCGAAUAAAAUAAGUACGAAAUUUCCGAGGAGUAAUCACAUGACAUCAUGACACGAUCGUCAUCUUCUUCCUCUUAUCUAUAUAACUACUCAUGCGGCUUUCCUCUCCUCCACUAACUAUUUUACAGAGCAAUACAGAGGGAAAAGACAGAGACAUAUAUAUACAAUUCAUUCUUGUUCUAAAUCUCAACAAGACUAGGAGGUAAUGGGGAACCUUUUGUGCUGCGUGCUGGUGAAGCAAUCAGAUGUGGCCAUCAAGGAGAGAUUUGGCAAAUUUCAAAAAGUUCUUAACCCAGGUCUCCAGUUUGUGCCCUGGGUCAUAGGUGAUUAUGUCGCCGGUCAUCUCACCCUUCGUCUCCAGCAGCUCGACGUUCAAUGCGAAACCAAAACAAAGGUAAGCAGCAUUGAACACAUAUAUACAUAUCUCCUCCUUCUAACGUAUCAUUUAUGUAUCAGGACAAUGUGUUUGUGACAGUGGUUGCAUCCAUUCAAUACAGAGUCUUGGUUGACAAGGCAAGUGAUGCUUUCUACAGACUUAGCAAUCCUACUUCCCAAAUCAAAGCCUAUGUCUUCGAUGGUAACUACUCCUUCAUCAUCUACUUCCUUUCCCAGUAGUGCAAAGAUUCUGAUGCUGGUUCUGUUUCUCUCAGUGAUCAGAGCAUGUGUACCCAAGCUGAACUUGGACGAUGUCUUCGAGCAGAAGAAUGAAAUAGCCAAAUCCGUGGAAGAAGAGCUAGACAAAGCCAUGACUGCUUAUGGUUAUGAGAUCCUUCAAACCCUUAUCAUCGACAUCGAGCCUGACCAACAGGUUAAACGUGCCAUGAACGAAAUCAACGCCGGUAAGGAGACAUAAUCUCCCAAACCUUAGAAACCACAUAAUCAAAGUUAUGUCUCUGAUCUUGAAAUUAAUUUUUUUACAGCGGCGAGGAUGAGAGUGGCGGCGAACGAGAAAGCAGAGGCGGAGAAAAUCAUUCAGAUAAAGAGAGCAGAAGGUGAAGCUGAGUCCAAGUACCUAUCUGGACUAGGUAUCGCUCGUCAGAGACAAGCUAUCGUUGACGGUCUGAGAGACAGUGUUCUUGGUUUCGCCGGAAACGUGCCGGGGACGUCAGCUAAGGAUGUGUUGGACAUGGUGAUGAUGACUCAGUACUUUGACACCAUGAGAGACAUCGGAGCUCACUCUAAAUCUUCGUCGGUGUUUAUCCCUCACGGUCCCGGCGCCGUCGCUGACGUGGCGACACAGAUUCGAAAUGGAUUACUGCAGGCCCACCAGACCAAUGCCUAAAUGGCUCCAGUCAACAGUCAACUAUCUAAAAGUCGUCGUCUCCCCACUAAAUUUUAAUGGUAUUUUUUUUUUAUCGUGAUUGUUGUUUUAUAUUUUCUUUUGCCAGAUUUAAUAAUUGUGUCUGUCUUUGUGAUUUUGUAACUAUAUUGCCAAUUAAGUUUGUAUAAAAAUUAAAAAUGCAAGUAUAACUCUUAUAUCUCACUGUAUUUGGUUGUCAAUCGAAAUAAUUUAGGCGUGUUAUGGUGUGGCCCAAGAUACAUAUAUACGUAGGUAGACCUUCGAAAAGUCAACUCAUUCAGCUCGCUCACUUAACGAGCACAAUUGAAUAUCCAAUCUUAUAAUAAGUCCUCACCUACUUCACAUAAUAGAGUGAGAACAUAAGAUAGUGUUGAAGGAAAAAAAGAGCCCAGGAAAGUCUCGAAAACAAAAUCGAGUGGAAGGAACAAAGUGCAUAGCAUAUAAGUAGAAACAGAACUCAAAAGGAUUUUAAUGUUUCAUCAUGUCAAACAAGACAGACGACCUUUUUCAGCCUUUUUAUUCUCUACAAAUCCGACAAGAAAAUGGGGGAAAGUUUAAAAGUUAAAACCAACAAACCAAGCAGAGGAAAACAGAACCCAAGUCGGAAAAAAAAACUAUUGUUUGCUUGGCUCAUAUUCAAGGCUUGAGAGAGAGGGCCAAUCCAACCUUAGCAUUCUUGUCAAUAGCCUUGGUGUCAACUUCUCCAGAGAUUGUGAAGAAGGACCCGGGUGUCCACUGGUGCUGAAUGAGUGCAUUGGCUAUCCCUGCACUGUUCACACGUGCCUUCACCGUGGUCAAGGGGUCAAGUGAAUGCUGUGUUCCCACGGUUAUGGUGUUGGUCUUGCUAGAGAACUUGUGGCUCACUUCGGCUCCAACAGCAGUGUUGAACAGCGGGUUAACAAUGUGGUAGUAUGAAGCGUUGACAGAAUCUCCUUUGUCAUUCCUAAACAAACAAGAAAAGCCAAAGAUAUCUAUUAUCAAAAUUUGAUAAAGGACCCAUAUUCAAUCCGCAAAUUCCUCACACGAAUUUUGACUUACAGGGUAAGGGAGGCAAUUAAAUCAUCCUUGGUGAAGUUUACACCAGCAUUGAUCUUGGUGAAAUUGCCAGAUUUGGUGUCGAAUGAAACAUCGGUACCAGCAGCUAACACAUUGGUUCCGAUAACACCAGAGAAGUUAACAGUCGGGUUCUGAGUCAAUCCCAUGCUCGUGCUGAUACCGGCAUAGUCAUGCAAGUACUGAAGCUCAAUCUGUUUGGAAAAUUAUACACGAUUUUUAAAAAAAAAAAAAAAUGAAGUUAGAAAAGCAAGGCUAUCAAACUUAUAACAAAUAUUAGACGCUUGCUUGAAAAGUGAAUAAUACCUUGCCGGAGUUUUGGUCAGGGGCCCUGAAGCUGAAGAUGGACUUGAGCCCAGGUGCAGCCUCAUCAACCGUAGCAGUGAUCAAAACCUGAACCAUUAUACAAGAAACACAAUGUUUAGAAUAGAGUAAUAUUCUCCAAUAUACACAUAGAUGUUGGAUGAAUAGAUAAGAUAAUCAGAAACAAGAAGCUAACAGAUGGAAAGUAUCAAGGUAGGUAGGUAGGGAUAAUACUUACGGUAUUGUCAGUGCAAACUCUCAAAUCAGUAGUGAUGUUCUUCUGUUUCAAGAGAAAACCGACAUCUCCCAAAAGCAGGUCACCUUUCUUAGUUCCAGUUGAAGUGAUAGCCUGACAAAAUAACAAGAUAGUUUACAGAGGUGACACUUAAAACAAUCAAACAACUCAAAAGUAAGUAGCAACACAACUCGAGAACAUUUAUCAUAACUUAAAAAAUGAAACGUAAUAAAGCAAGAAACUUACAACACCAGCUGGAGAGUGAGUGGUGAUACUCAAUUUGUGGUCGCUGUUGUGGUCCUUGUACAGCAGAUCUGCAAAGGAAACGAUCUCAAUUUCAAUCGAAUAAUACGGAUGCACAUAACAUUGAUUUUGACCCAAUCGAAAAUCUUAAACCGAUUGCAAGAGCUUCGAACACAACCCAGAUCAUUCCCCCUAAUCGAAACCCUAAUUUGCAACUAUCGGAUUCGUCGCAAUGAAAUGGAAAGCAGUGAGAGAGAGAGAGAGAUUUGACCUCUGACUUUUUUGCCGAUGUCGGUGUAGAGACCUGGACCUUUCACCAUUUUUGCUUUGCUUUGCUUCCUACAAAGAACAAAAGAUACUUCGAGAGAUAGAGAGAGAAUCGCAGAACGAGAGUCGUGGCUGGCGUCUAUAAGGAAGAGGUUGAAGAAAGCCCUAAUUUUUUUUUUUUCUUUGUUUUUUUUUUUCCUGCUUUCCAAGCAAAAUUUUAUCAGCCGUUGGAUCGAGAUAGACGAUCUUCCUCUUCUGUAUUAACUACGUGGCACUCAAGCGGCGUCGUUUACUACUGUCCUCUCUUACCCGGGUUAUCUAUCAUUCGGUUUAUUAAUUUUUGGUUUACUGACUUAUCAGUUGAGUUUUUUACCAACCCAUUAGCCUGCGAUUAAAUUCCUUGUAAUAAUACGUUAUUGGAUAAUCAGUAACCAUUAACCAAAACAGAUAUAUGUUUAAUCAGGCACCUUAAAAUAUGAAUAGAAGGUUCAAAUCAAAGUUCAGUCUAAGUUGUAUAUACUUCUUUAAAAAUUGUUAAAGUUUUUUGUAUACAUAUAUGGUUAAUAUAUAGAUCAUAGAUAAAUUAGAUAUUGUAACAAGCAGUCUGACAUUUAAUUUAUAAUUUAUACUACUUUUAGAUGCAUAUGAGAAGUAACAAGUAAUAUGGUUAUUGUUGCCAAAAUUGGUUGAACAUGUGGGGAAAACAGUAGGCUUCUCUCUUUACAGAAACAUAUCCAAAUAUAGGAGAAGCAAAGAAACCUGUCCACACGUGAAUUAUGCUGGCUUUCCAUACAUAACGGGAAAAUUUUCUAAUUUUAGAAGUUAACUUUCUUGGUCAACUUUUUGUUAUUUAAAGACCAACCUUCACGUUUGUUCAACUUCGCAAUACGAUUCAUCUACCAAACAGAAAAACAAACGACCUUAAGUCAUGUUUAAAGCUUAGCAGUUCUCCACAUAUAUAUAUUUAAAAAAUAUAAAAAGAUUACCCCUUUAAGAAAAGAAAUAAUUCAUACAGAUUGUUUUCUGUAGCAAAAAGGGGUAAUCAAAUAAAAAAAAAUGGAGACGGCUAGGCUUUUCAAAUUAGUGUGUGUGAUUUGUAUUGCCAGUUUGAUUCCGACCUUACGAGCCAAUGUUGCGGAGACCGAUGAUUAUUGGGUAAAAAUGGCCAAUGAAGCUCGUAAACGUACCCUUAUGGCUUAUCAUCCCGAUCCUUAUCAGAUUGUCGACCACUUCCACGAGCGUCACUACGA
rnacentral:lncRNA from 1 species